rnacentral:rRNA from 1 species
GGAACCAGGCGCCCGCCGGAGGAACCAACCAAACUCUUUCUGUAGUCCCCUCGCGGACGUAUUUCUUACAGCUCUGAGCAAAAAUUCAAAAUGAAUCAAAACUUUCAACAACGGAUCUCUUGGUUCUGGCAUCGAUGAAGAACGCAGCGAAAUGCGAUAAGUAAUGUGAAUUGCAGAAUUCAGUGAAUCAUCGAAUCUUUGAACGCACAUUGCGCCCGCCAGUAUUCUGGCGGGCAUGCCUGUCCGAGCGUCAUUUCAACCCUCGAACCCCUCCGGGGGAUCGGCGUUGGGGAUCGGGACCCCUCACACGGGUGCCGGCCCCGAAAUACAGUGGCGGUCUCGCCGCAGCUCUCCUGCGCAGUAGUUUGCACAACUCGCACCGGGAGCGCGGCGCGUCCACGUCCGUAAAACACCCAACUUUCUGAAAUGUUGACCUCGGAUCAGGUAGGAAUACCCGCUGAACUUAAGCAUAUCAAUAAGGCGGAGGA